AGUGAACGCUGGCGGUAGGCCUAACACAUGCAAGUCGAACGGCAGCACAGGAGAGCUAGCUCUCUGGGUGGCGAGUGGCGGACGGGUGAGGAAUACAUCGGAAUCUACUCUGUCGUGGGGGAUAACGUAGGGAAACUUACGCUAAUACCGCAUACGACCUACGGGUGAAAGCAGGGGACCUUCGGGCCUGGCGCGAUUGAAUGAGCCGAUGUCGGAUUAGCUAGUUGGCGGGGUAAAGGCCCACCAAGGCGACGAUCCGUAGCUGGUCUGAGAGGAUGAUCAGCCACACUGGAACUGAGACACGGUCCAGACUCCUACGGGAGGCAGCAGUGGGGAAUAUUGGACAAUGGGCGCAAGCCUGAUCCAGCCAUACCGCGUGGGUGAAGAAGGCCUUCGGGUUGUAAAGCCCUUUUGUUGGGAAAGAAAUCCAGCUGGCUAAUACCCGGUUGGGAUGACGGUACCCAAAGAAUAAGCACCGGCUAACUUCGUGCCAGCAGCCGCGGUAA
rnacentral:rRNA from 1 species